rnacentral:rRNA from 1 species
GUACACUCCUACGGGAGGCAGCAGUGGGGAAUAUUGGACAAUGGGCGCAAGCCUGAUCCAGCCAUGCCGCGUGAGUGAUGAAGGCCCUAGGGUUGUAAAGCUCUUUCACCGGAGAAGAUAAUGACGGUAUCCGGAGAAGAAGCCCCGGCUAACUUCGUGCCAGCAGCCGCGGUAAUACGAAGGGGGCUAGCGUUGUUCGGAAUUACUGGGCGUAAAGCGCACGUAGGCGGAUCGAUCAGUCAGGGGUGAAAUCCCAGGGCUCAACCCUGGAACUGCCUUUGAUACUGUCGAUCUGGAGUAUGGAAGAGGUGAGUGGAAUUCCGAGUGUAGAGGUGAAAUUCGUAGAUAUUCGGAGGAACACCAGUGGCGAAGGCGGCUCACUGGUCCAUUACUGACGCUGAGGUGCGAAAGCGUGGGGAGCAAACAGGAUUAGAAACCCCGGUAGUCCCAUG